rnacentral:rRNA from 1 species
GACGAACGCUGGCGGCGUGCUUAACACAUGCAAGUCGAACGGUGAAGCCUUCGGGUGGAUCAGUGGCGAACGGGUGAGUAACACGUGAGCAAUCUGCCCUUGACUCUGGGAUAACUUCGGGAAACCGGAGCUAAUACCGGAUAUGACAUCUGGCCGCAUGGUCUGGGUGUGGAAAGAUUUAUCGGUCAAGGAUGAGCUCGCGGCCUAUCAGCUUGUUGGUGGGGAAUGGCCCACCAAGGCGACGACGGGUAGCCGGCCUGAGAGGGCGACCGGCCACACUGGGACUGAGACACGGCCCAGACUCCUACGGGAGGCAGCAGUGGGGAAUAUUGCGCAAUGGGCGGAAGCCUGACGCAGCGACGCCGCGUGAGGGAUGAAGGCCUCGGUCGUAACU